rnacentral:rRNA from 1 species
ACGCUGGCGGCAGGCCUAACACAUGCAAGUCGAGCGGAAACGACUUAUCUGAACCUUCGGGGAACGUUAAGGGCGUCGAGCGGCGGACGGGUGAGUAAUGCCUAGGAAAUUGCCCUGAUGUGGGGGAUAACCAUUGGAAACGAUGGCUAAUACCGCAUGAUGCCUACGGGCCAAAGAGGGGGACCUUCGGGCCUCUCGCGUCAGGAUAUGCCUAGGUGGGAUUAGCUAGUUGGUGAGGUAAUGGCUCACCAAGGCGACGAUCCCUAGCUGGUCUGAGAGGAUGAUCAGCCACACUGGAACUGAGACACGGUCCAGACUCCUACGGGAGGCAGCAGUGGGGAAUAUUGCACAAUGGGCGCAAGCCUGAUGCAGCCAUGCCGCGUGUGUGAAGAAGGCCUUCGGGUUGUAAAGCACUUUCAGUCGUGAGGAAGGURGURUAGUUAAUAGCUGCAUYAUUUGACGUUAGCGACAGAAGAAGCACCGGCUAACUCCGUGCCAGCAGCCGCGGUAAUACGGAGGGUGCGAGCGUUAAUCGGAAUUACUGGGCGUAAAGCGCAUGCAGGUGGUUUGUUAAGUCAGAUGUGAAAGCCCGGGGCUCAACCUCGGAAUAGCAUUUGAAACUGGCAGACUAGAGUACUGUAGAGGGGGGUAGAAUUUCAGGUGUAGCGGUGAAAUGCGUAGAGAUCUGAAGGAAUACCGGUGGCGAAGGCGGCCCCCUGGACA